GGAGUUAGCCGGUGCUUCUUCUGCGAGUAACGUCACAGAUGUAAGGUAUUAACUUACACCCUUUCCUCCUCGCUGAAAGUGCUUUACAACCCGAAGGCCUUCUUCACACACGCGGCAUGGCUGCAUCAGGGUUUCCCCCAUUGUGCAAUAUUCCCCACUGCUGCCUCCCGUAGGAGUCUGGGCCGUGUCUCAGUCCCAGUGUGGCUGAUCAUCCUCUCAGACCAGCUAGGGAUCGUCGCCUAGGUGAGCCUUUACCUCACCUACUAGCUAAUCCCACCUGGGCUUAUCCAUCAGCGCAAGGCCCGAAGGUCCCCUGCUUUCCCCCGUAGGGCGUAUGCGGUAUUAGCAGUCGUUUCCAACUGUUAUCCCCCACAAAUGGGCAAAUUCCCAGGCAUUACUCACCCGUCCGCCGCUCGUCAUCUUCAAAAGCAAGCUUUUGAAAUGUUACCGCUCGACUUGCAUGUGUUAGGCCUGCCGCCAGCGUUCAAUCUGAGCCAGAAUCGAAACCUGACGUACGUAGACGGCGGUCGCGACGACGGCGACUAG
rnacentral:rRNA from 1 species